rnacentral:rRNA from 1 species
CCCAGACUCCUACGGGAGGCAGCAGUGGGGAAUAUUGCACAAUGGGGGGAACCCUGAUGCAGCGACGCCGCGUGGGUGAAGGAGCACCUCGGUGCGUAAAGCCCUCUCGGCAGGGAAGAAACAGACGGUACCUGACUAAGAAGCCCCGGCUAACUACGUGCCAGCAGCCGCGGUAAUACGUAGGGGGCAAGCGUUAUCCGGAUUCACUGGGUGUAAAGGGAGCGUAGACGGCGACGCAAGUCUGGAGUGAAAGCCCGGGGCCCAACCCCGGGACUGCUCUGGAAACUGCGUCGCUGGAGUACGGGAGGGGCAGGCGGAAUUCCUGGUGUAGCGGUGAAAUGCGUAGAUAUUAGGAGGAACACCAGUGGCGAAGGCGGUCUGCUGGACAGCAACUGACGCUGAGGCGCGAAAGCGUGGGGAGCAAACAGGAUUAGAUACCCGAGUAUAG